AUUGAACGCUGGCGGCAUGCUUUACACAUGCAAGUCGAACGGUAACAGGCCGCAAGGUGCUGACGAGUGGCGAACGGGUGAGUAAUGCAUCGGAACGUGCCCAGUCGUGGGGGAUAACGCAGCGAAAGCUGUGCUAAUACCGCAUACGAUCUAUGGAUGAAAGCGGGGGACCGUAAGGCCUCGCGCGAUUGGAGCGGCCGAUGUCAGAUUAGCUAGUUGGUGGGGGAAAGGCCCACCAAGGCGACGAUCUGUAGCUGGUCUGAGAGGACGGCCAGCCACACUGGGACUGAGACACGGCCCAGACUCCUACGGGAGGCAGCAGUGGGGAAUUUUGGACAAUGGGCGCAAGCCUGAUCCAGCAAUGCCGCGUGCAGGAAGAAGGCCUUCGGGUUGUAAACUGCUUUUGUACGGAACGAAACGGUCUGGGUUAAUACCCUGGGCUAAUGACGGUACCGUAAGAAUAAGCACCGGCUAACUACGUGCCAGCAGCCGCGGUAAAAC
rnacentral:rRNA from 1 species